rnacentral:lncRNA from 1 species
AUUACUUGUUUCCACAGAAAUGAUGUAAAUAUUGAGGCCAGAAUAUCAAGAGGAGAGAAUCAGGGCAGCAAGAGAGAUGUGAAACAGAGCACCAAGUCAAGUAGAAGCCAUCCUCCCGGAAUGAUGACUUACAAAAGCUAAAGGCAGGGAAAGAGCCAGGAGGGAGGUGGCUUAGCAGAAUUUGUUCACAUUCCGGUGACACGGCUUGAUCUCCUCUGUGCUCUCAUUUCCAACGAAAUCUUAGAAGCUGAUAAGGGCUUGUCACUAAUGAAAACUUUGGCUGAAUUGGAGGGAACUAGGAGCCUAAAGAAAGUCGGAGACAGAAAUUCCUACAAAUGCAAGGCCAUAAUUGCUUAAUUGGGACUGACACAUCUCUGUUUGGCUUUCCCAGCACUGCAAGUCUGGAUAUUUAGCACUGGGAAGUCAAAAUGCCUGGAAAAAAAAUAAAUAUCCAGUCUUCAAAUAUCUGGUCUGCAUCACUUAUUUUUAAU